GGCCUCCCAAUUCUUACCACAGGCUGUAUUCUUUACACUGACUGAAUAGAAAGAGGAAGUACGCUAAAUGCUCCCUAUAUACACCUCAAACCAGGACCAUUGCCUGGUCUGUAUUGUGAAUUGGGGGACAAAA